rnacentral:rRNA from 1 species
UACGUAGGGGGCAAGCGUUGUCCGGAUUUAUUGGGCGUAAAGCGCACGUAGGCGGAUGUGUCAGUCAGGGGUGAAAUCCCGGAGCUCAACUUCGGAACUGCCCUUGAUACAGCACGUCUUGAGUCCGGAAGAGGUGGGUGGAAUUCCUAGUGUAGAGGUGAAAUUCGUAGAUAUUAGGAAGAACACCGGUGGCGAAGGCGGCCCACUGGUCCGGUACUGACGCUGAGGUGCGAAAGCCAGGGGAGCAAACGGG